rnacentral:miRNA from 1 species
UUAUCUGUAUAGCUCUGGCUGUCCUGGAGCUCACUAUGUAGACCAGGCUGGCCUUGAACUCAAGAGAUACGUCUGCCUCUGUCUCCUGAGUGCUGGGAUUGAAGGCAUGCACCACCACUGCCUG